AUGAACUGCAGAUACAAAAACUCUUU
rnacentral:piRNA from 1 species